UAGAAAAUGCUUUCUUUUCGGAAAAUUAAACCUCAUCGCAAAACCCUAGCGUUCUCUUUAUUUUCCACCGUUCAUGCUUUGCGUAAUCUCAACGAUUCUCGCAGAUCUACCCUAAACUCAAGGAAUUCUAGCUGUUGAAAAUGAAGGUGGCUGCUGGCAAGGACAAGGCUGGUUGGGUAAUGGAAAAUGGACUAUAUCACGUGCAAUUGUUGUCUCUGAUGGCUAUUGCAAAUGCUGUGCUAAGAAGCUGGUAACUAUUGAUCUUGAUCUUGAAGAAACUAAAAAGAUUUCCAAGUCUGUUGCUUCACAAGCUGCAUGGAGGAAGAGAAAUUCAAGCUUCCAGAAAUUCUAAUGAAUGGUCUGCUAAGAUUCCAAUCAUCCUAAUUGCUGGUGCUGCUACUAGUACUGAUGCUCCUACAAAUGUGCUCACUUCCAUUGCACUUCAAUAUUUAUCUACAUCAAUGUUCUUUCUAAAAUCCCUAGUUGAAAGGAUGGAUGCAAUCAUUGAGGCUACUCUAGUACAAAAUUUUGUAGGCUUUAGUGUUGGCGACAAGGUGGCGACUUUCUUGAGGAACUAUCUUUUAAGACAAGAUGGAACAGUUACUUCAUUUGUUAGAGCCUUAAAGAUGGCACUAGUCCAACACCUUUCCAUUGAGCCUCUUAGCUUUGUGCUUAAGAUUUUAGUUGACGAGGGAGAUAAUAAGGAAUAAUCAUGCAGAACUAAAUGCUAUGAGUCUAGACCAUGAACUAUUAGAACUGCAGAGGUUGCAGGAACUAUGGAGAUCUCGCCUUAUGUGUUUACAUGAAGCUGGAAGGUACCAUAAAGUUGCAUUGUUGGACUUGUAUUUGGAGGCAUUGGAUCUUGAGUUAUACAACUCCAGGCUAUCUAAUCAUGACUGUGAUAAUGAAAAAGAUAAGAGCUUGUUGUCGGAUAAUGAUAAACUUUUCAAGCUACAAAAGGCUGAGGUUACCAAUCAAUUCAUCCGCAAAAUAAGGUAGUUGCAAGUCUUACCCUUAUUUUCUACUUUUAGCAUUAACAUGUUCUUUACUUCACUUGUAAAGUAAAAUAGAAAUUCCAUGCAGAUGGGAUUCAAUUAUAGUAAUUUUCAAUUCUUUAUGGCUGUAAGGAGAAAACUAUACUAUCCAUAGUUAGGUUCCUUAGCGAAAAUGGUGUUUGCAUGAAAACUGAAAAGGAUUCAGAUGAUUCCGAGUGUUAAAAUUUCCUAUAGUUUUAUCUUAUUUCUCCAACUCACUUCCCCCAACCAAAUGUUGCACAUGAUGCUUGAGUUUUUGAUGAACUAGGGACUUACCAGCUGCGAAGUUGUCCUAGUUGCUUAAGAGUUGGAAGCGGCUCACCAGAGGGAUAGAUGAGGCAUUUUCACUGUCAGUUCAUUUGAAGCAAUGUAAUUCUGUUGGUGUACUUAUGGAUUUUAUGUUUAUCGGAAAAAAUAUGGAAAAAUAUAAUCGACCAAUGAGACAUGUUAAUACUAAAGAAAAGGAAAACUAAAUGCCUGCAAAAGGAAAAAGUGUUAAGUCAAUAGAAGGAGCUAACCAAAUGUACGGCCACUCAGAAAACAUCUGAAGAGGCAAAUAUAUUUAGAUUUGAAGGAACUGCUUUCAUUGUUAGUAAAUGUCUUCAAAAGCAUUCCCAAGUCAUGCUAGCCUUAAUGAUCUUUUAUUUCUUUCCUAUGUUUCCUCAUUUAGCUUUGGUCUUUGGAGGAUGCAUCCUCCCCAGAAUCCAAGACAUAGGAUGCCUAGUUUCUACUUAAAUAAUAAGUCGACAAAUUAAAGAAAGAGAAGAGGUAGGAGGGGAGCUCCUGAGCUGUUUCAACAUGAAGAUUUUUAGAAAAACCUGAACAAUGUACUGUAAUUACUGUCCUUUUGACAAUUCUAUUUCCCUCUUCUCUAAAUUAAUCCGAAUUAGUCUAAUUUUUACAACAACAACAACAUACCAGUAUAGUCCUACAAGUGGGGUCUAGGGAGAGAAGGGUGUAUAAAAACCUUACCCUACCUUUUGAGGGUAAAGUGGCAGUUUCUGGUGGAAAUUAUUUAAUCCCUUAGUUACCUGUUUCAAUCCAUUUCUUUCAAAUUCAUCAAAAACAUAUAAUCUAGCUGUCUGUGUUUAGCCUGAUGUAGUACUGCACCCUUUUCUGUCACAAUAAAAAUUUGCAAACUUGUCAUUGAGCUUCCACCUUCUUUGGUGCAUUCUGGUGUCCCUUGAGGCUUGUAGAAAAACAAAAGUUAACCACUCCAAAGCUUUAUUGUUAAAAUUGGUUAGGCGCAUCAAGUUCCUACUUCUUUCCACAUAUUUGAACCAGUUUCUGCCCUAUUGAUCAAUCUCGUAACAUCAUAGGACUUGAAACCAACUACAAAAUAAAUUCUGUUCUCCCCCAUAUUGCUACUUAAAACUGAUUUUAGUGAUUGUUUCAGUGAUAAAAGUGGGUGAUAAGUGUUGGCUAAAGAAAAGAAAGGCUCAUCUUUGGUAAAGACUCGCCGAAAAGUGUGUUCUACAAACCUAUAAAGUAGGAAAGAAAGAAAUCUCGAAAAUAGUUCCUGAGAGCAUUUUUGGUAGCAUAAGCACAUCAAAGGAGUCCUAAGGCUUUGAUAUCAUAAAUAUGGUGGAUAUUUUUGAAAGUGAUAUCUUUGCAACUAUGAUUUCCUUGGGUAAAGUGCAACAUUCAAGCAUUUCAAGAUUUCCUUGAGUGUUAUGUUCCAUAGAGUUACUUUUAUUAAUUUAUCUAUCAUUAUCUUGUGGCUCUAGUAUUAUCUUAUGGCUAGCGUUGUUAGUUUAUUUUUCUUGUACAAGUUUAUAUGCAUUUACGUUUUGUGUUUGCUAUACUGUUAUUGGUUCUAAGCUCGAGUUCUAUCGAAAACAGUCUCUCUACUUCACCUGAGGUAGUGGUAUGGUCUGCGUACACUCUAGCUUCCCUAGUCCCCACUAGGUGGGAAUACACUGGGUAUGUUGUUGUUGUAAUUCAUUCCCAUGGGAAAUUGACUUGUUUCUUCAAGUACUGGCUGUAUGCAUCAAUAAAAUUUAGGUGCUUACUUAUGACCAAUGAUGAGAUGAGGGACCAUUUGUUUCAACUUCUGGGAAAUGACUUUUUCCCAAAAUGGAAAGAAAGGAAUUAGGUUAGUUCUACACUAUAGAAAUAGCUGCAUGAAAUAUUGAAUUUUUUUGUCGAUAUGUAUUUAAUAAGACACUCAUGCAUAGGAUUCAAAUAGAUUAUGGCAUUAAUUAACUCUCUGAAAGUGUAUUCCAAACUCUAGAUAGAUGUUAUAUUGCAUCGAUACAGAGGUUAGGUUCAGGGAAGAGGAGUUUGAUGAGCUUAGCAACAACAAUGACAUCGUACCCGGUAUAAUCCCACAAGUGGGGUUUGAGGAGGGUAGAGUGUAUACAUACCUUACCCCAAUCUUUGCAGGUAGAGAAACUGUCUCCAGUAGACCCUCGACUCAAGGAAAGUGAAAUGAAUUA